rnacentral:lncRNA from 1 species
GGGCUCCCUCCAGUUAUCAGUGCGGGCUUCCCCUCCCCCUCUUCUCGUCCUCUACGGCUCGGCUGAGAGAAGAGAAGGGGAGGGGGAGAUCCCCUUCUUCGCGUCUCUGCCCUGACAGCCCAGAUGCUGUGCAGUCUGCGAGAACACUCGCACUGAGGUAAUGGCGGUGUUUGGAUAUGGAUAGGGCUACACCGCGAAGAGAGAGGUAAAGCACACAGCUGGGACAGGAUGGAUCAGCGCAGCGAGGGAGGAUCUCGUUUAUCCAAAGAGGGCAUAUGGGUCUUCGGUAUGGGAGAACUUAGGGCAAAGGACAGUCGUCUUGCGGAAAUCUGCUCUCUUUUCAGAGAGGGGGGAUGGUGACAUUGGACACGGCACCAUCGAUGCCCAAAAUCAACCCAUUUUUACUUAGAAAGACGGAAGAAAGCCAACCCGUUUAUUCGGGUAACGUGUGUGUUUUCGUUAGGAACACGCGAAGCUACCGGGAAAUAGCAGGGAUGGUUUCAUAUUCGAAUUCUACAACAACACAGGAACGCAGCCUAUGCGCGCGACACAACGCCGUUUGGAACGCCCCCCUCCCACAGGGCGCGAGAUUCAAACAAACUUUUGCAUAAUGUGUUUUAUUUGUAUUCUUCAGCUGCAUUGGUGCUCCCUUCUCAUGUUACAUCCAGUCUGCCAACUCGGAAUGAGUUUACAUCGGGAAAAUUGAACAAUUGCGUUUUAUCUAUCUAUUUCGAGUUGACAUGUAGGCUAGAGGAGUUGUGACGCUUUAUGGGAAAUAUUUUUUUAAAUAACAAGCGAAGCUGCAAAGGAUUGCUUUUAACAAGGAAAGGACCUGAGCCCUUGGACCAUGCCUCAGGACUACCUGGCUUGAUGACUCCUUGCUGUCCCCAGUUCACCUGGCCGUGCUGCUGCUCCAGUUCCAACUGUUCUGCCUGCAGCUAUGGAACCCUGACCUGUUCACCGGACGUGCUACCUGUCCCAGACCUGUUGUCCCAGACCUGCUGGAACCCUGACCUAUUCACCAGACGUGCUACCUGUCCCAGACCUGCUGUUUUCAACUCUCUAGAGACAGCAGGAGCGGUAGAG